AUGUUUAACUUAUUAUAUAUCUUCACUAAAUUAUUUCCCUGGCUCGAUUAAAACAUCACUAUAUACUGGAACCCUUUAGAGUUUUUGGGACUAGUACUGCAUACUUUCUUUUAAAGAAAAUAGGCAAAAUACAGUAAUACUUCAAAAAAUUAGGCAAUCAGUAGGAAACCAACGGAUGUUUUAUUAUCCUAGUAGGAUCCUCAACGACUAUAUGUGAUGUAUUUUAUUUUAAAUUUUACCGGUAAUUGCUGUGACUUCAACUGGUUUAUUUAAUUUAAAGUAAAAUAAAGAUAUAGUCUAAUCUUAUAUGAAAGUAUAAC
rnacentral:ncRNA from 1 species